GACGUAGGUGGCGAACGUUAUCCGGAAUUAUUGGGCGUAAAGGGCUCGUAGGUGGCCAACUAAGUCAUACGUGAAAUCCCUCGGCUUAACCGGGGAACUGCGUCUGAUACUGGAUGGCUUGAGGUUGGGAGAGGGAUGCGGAAUUCCAGGUGUAGCGGUGAAAUGCGUAGAUAUCUGGAGGAACACCGGUGGCGAAGGCGGCAUCCUGGACCAAUUCUGACACUGAGGAGCGAAAGCCAGGGGAGCAAACGGG
rnacentral:rRNA from 1 species